rnacentral:lncRNA from 1 species
UCAUAAGGGGAAAGGCUCCCUAUUUAAAGAAAAUUUUCGAAUCUUUACUAUUUUCAUGUGAUUAGAUGAGGACAAAAAUUUUACUGCUCAUGAAUAGUUUGUCUGCCACCGAAUCUUUACUGUUUCUGUCUUUACCCUAAGUUUGAAGAUGAGGACGAAGAGGUGUCCUUGUUUUUCUUUCCUUUUUUCUUUAGCUUUUCUUUCUUUUCUUUUUCUUUCUUUUUCUUUUCUUUUCUUUUUAUCUUGUCUGUCUUGCUCUUUAUUUUGAUAGCUGGAAGUAUUUCAUAACAGUCAU